AGCCCUUCUUCCCUACCACAACAGCAUAAGAACAAACCAGCCAUUGUUGCUUAAAGGGAGAGCUGGCUGAUACCAUUUUGGUGGUGAAGUAUAUGCAUCUGGAUGGAAGCUGUGUAUGGCAGGAGAUGGAGAUGAAAGAUCUGCUAUGGGGCAGGAAAGUAGUGAUGCCUCCAGUGGGACUGAGAGAGCACUAGGUUCCACAGCUCUGCCUCAGGCAAAGAACAGAUGAGUCCUUAAGGAGGUUGCUUUGCUUCCUUGUUGGUUGUUUUCCUACUUCUCAGGGGAGACACAGUGAGGUGAGUCCCAAGAUUAUCAUCUCCCUGCAAGCAGGAGCCACAUGACCUCCACCAUGCUCUGAAACCAGAUGAAGGUUCCAGGUCCAUUGCCUGGUUGCCCUCACAGAAGUUACCUCAUAGAAGCCUCUUCAGCUUCUUCAUCUCGCUCCACAGGAAAAUCAUGAUGGAGCACAGCUGUUUUCUUUAUCUCAACUGACUUCUUUUCUUCUUUUUCCCUCCCUGUAGCUGCCCAGGUUGCUUGUUGGCAGCUCCACUGCAGUGCCAGUGUGCAGCAGAAGGGCAUCUCAUUCUGAGCCAUGCUGGAUAAGAAGGUGGGAGUCAGCACUUUUCUUCCCACAGAUACCAUCCAACCUUGACCUCCACCAUCCAGAUCUGCAGGUCAUUGCCCCAAAGUAAUGUUCCUCCUUGACCCUGAUACUUCUACCCAGAUGGUUAUUUCAGCUGGUAAAGAAUUUUUCUAACAUAUGAAGAAAAAAAAGACCUAGCAAACCAAAAUAUAACUAGUGCACUGCUGCCUCUUUAUCUGGCUGUGCUUUAUUUGCACAAGCUGAAGAACUUCGUGGUGCCAGGAGGGAUGCGAUAGAAGUUCUUUGUCUCAUAAAUUAUUUUGGCCCAGUCUUCCCCCGGGAGAUAGGACUUGAGAGCAAGAGCUGGCAGCAUGGGUUCUGCUCCCAGCUUUGGCACUGACCUGCUGCGUGACCUUGGACAACUCACUUCACCUCCCCUGAGCUUCUGUUUCCCCUCCUCUCCUUUGUCUGCCUUGUUUAUUUGGACUGUCAACUCCUAGAGAAAGGAAUUCAGCCUCCCUGGCAGCUUGAAGAUUGCAUAGCGUGACAGGAGCCCAAUCGGACUCGCUUCUGGGAGGUACUAUAGUAAAAAAGUUCAUAAUGAUGACUAGAAACCAGCAUUUGCUAAACAAUUGUAUGGGAGCUUUUGCUUAUUAAGGGGCAUACAUGAACUAGCAGAACAUCUCUGACGGUUCAGAGAGCUUGUCCAGGGACAGCAACUGUUUUUGUUCCUUUUCCAUGGCCACACUGAAGACCAUAUCUACCAGCCCCAUAAAUAUUGACAUCUUCUCCCUAUCCCAGCUGCACAGUGGGAGGAGUGGGAAGCAUCUGCCAAAGAAAAGGGAAUGUUUGUUGGAGGUAAUGAAGAAGGCUUCUCUUGGAGUCCUCCCCCUCGCUCACAUCUGGACAGAUAACAGCUCUUGUGAGAAAGGUUGAAAGAGCCAGGGAGGCCUCCUGGAAAGGGCAGGGAAACACUCCACUUUGGAGCUGGUGAGCACCAAGGGCAGAAAGGUGGACAGAGGCUGUGGGGGCUAAUGCAGGCCCUGUCACCCAGAAAUCAGGGAUGAAACAGACAAAACCAAGGCCACUAAAAUCCUAUGGGGCAGAUCAUCUUUAGGUGAAAUCACAAAAGCCUUGAUUCCAGAAUACACCUCUUUCAGGCACGUGCUGCAGCUUUGAAAUCCAUUUUACCCUCUGGAUGGUAUCAAAAGUUGUAAUGAAGGGCUUGCCAUUGCAUUUGUGGCUCUUGAGGAGACUCCAUACUCACCCACUGCCUUCUACUCUGCUCAGAGUCCCCCUGGCAGUUCCACAGUGUCCCUCAGCCAAGAGCACAGCCUUCUCUUCCCGCUGAGUGACCCACAACUGGUACACAAGGACAUCAUGAUAGGACGAGAAUCACAGCCUUUGUGCUACACGCCACUCCACAGAUAUAGCUAAGAGCAAAUUGUUUCUCUAACAUGCCAAGGAUGCCUUUAAAAAAACCUCUUACCCCACCACCCCUUCGGCAGUAGCCCUGCAGCUUGACAAACUCCACUGGAACGCUUGUCUGCUUUUAAAAUGUCUUGAAUGUAUUGCAUGUAUUGGCCUGUCAUUGGUUUUCUCAAACCCCAGUGAUACAGAGGGGUCUGCUGGGAGCAGUGUGGAAAGCAGCUCCUUAAGUGAUGCUUUCCAGUUGACAGGGCUGGAGGGCAGGCACUACCUGCUGUUAGGGGAAAAAGCCAAUCCAGUCGUUAAUCCAUCAACCAGAGGCCAAUGUAGAAUUGUUCCUCCCAGUGCUGCUUUCCAGUGCUUUGUCUAUUUAUGCCUGUGCUGGUGAAGGUCCUUCCCCUGCCUGCCUGCCCCCUCAGAAGCAUCCUUCUGGGAUGAGUUCUUCCUACCCUGGCAGCACCUGGGAGUGCACAGAGGCUUUUUCUGUCUUCAAAUGUAACAGGUGGCAUAAAGAAGGCACAAAAAUAGGAAAGAUGAUCUAAAAGAAUUAACUCCACCUGGCCUUAAUUCCCUACUCCCCACUGCAACAGGAGCUUUGGAAACUCAAGAGACAGAUAAGCUCACAUGGAAGAGCGAUGCUCAGGUGCAGAGCGAGCAGGAGUGAGGAUCUCCCUGUGCAUUGCCACUGAUAGUGUUUACAGAUCUGUGUUCUGCCAUUGCAUCCAUCUUGCUGCACAGCCUGAGGCCAUCACCACAUGAAACAGGUAAAGGGCAGUGGCUGCACAUUUAAAGGAAAUGUAAUAAGAGAAAAAAAGUCUGUUUUUCACAGCUUGCAGGUUGUGGUUAAGUAGUUGCUCCUUUCCAUGGCAGUCACUGGUGCACAGAGACCACCACAGACAUGCAGUUGCCAGGGUCUGAAGGGUGAAAUUCCUAUGUCUCAGUCUCCAAAUUCUUCAAAUAGUGCCUCCAAUUUCUAUGUUUUCAUAAAGGCAUGGCCUGCUGCCGGGUGACCUGGAAGAGGCAUCGCAGUGCUUUGUCAGCACACUCGCCUCACUGCAGAAGCUAAGGACCAAGUUGUCUUAUUAAUCAUUUAAAAAGUGGGGAGGAAAAAAAAAUAAAAGGCACAGUUCUGGCUAAUUGUAGGGGGGAAAAAUGAGGUCAGAGUUCAUUUUUUUCUCUGCUGUCACUUCACAGUUCACUGGCUGACAAGGAAAGCAAGAUAAGAAGAGACGGGAGAUAGUUCAGGGAACUGAACUCCCUCUCCCAAGGAGAAGUGGGGGAGUUCAGGUUUUGAUGUGGAUGGAGAGGCAACUGUGCUGGGUGUUGAGCCACAGGACUUGGCAGAGGGGAUGCCAUAAGCUCCUCCAAGAGGGAGGGGAGCGUUUGGCAUGGUGCUCAUGGAGCAAGCAUGUCUCAUUUUUUGCCACCCCAUAAACGUACUGAUAUUGGUGCUGCUCGCAGGAACGACAAUCAGGACCCUUCUGCAUUUAGACAUGAAGGAAAAGAAGGAAAACAGUCUUGUUUUCAAUAAGACAGGGUCUCUUCCUCCGUUGCUCAACUGCCCAUUUGCACAAGGCUUUCUGGCCCCGUAGUAGCCUGUUUCCCUGGAGAGUACAGUCAACAUGGGGAGGCAAGGCAGCAUUGGAAGGUAGCCUGAGGAUAACAGGCGUUAUAAAGAGGAAUUUUUUUCCCUGCUGUUUUUGUUUGUUUUACCACAGAGGCUCAGAGGAGCUGGCCAAGAGCCUCACACAGCAGGUGCUGCCUGGGAAUGCAAGGGGAGCAAAAUUCCUACUAAAUGGAAGCAUUAUUUGACACCACUGCCUUUCGCAAUCUUUUUCUUUUGUUUCAGACAAACUCCAAGGCCUCCUGGGCUUUGUGGUCAAAGCUGAGUUGGACUCUUCUGCAGGGGAGGAAAGGGAAGUAGUAAGGGUGUCCCCAAACAUGCCAAACUCUUGGGUGACAGAGACCAAGCCUUCUGGAAACAAUACUGCUGGGUUCCCACAGAAGUGACAAGAGGGCCAAGAAAAAAAGAAAAAUCACCUUUGGCUCCCUCACAGCAGUGUUGUACCUUUUUUCCUUUUUUGCUCCUUUUUUUUUAGUGAAGGAGAGGCUGAGCCUGCACACCCACACCAAAAUGAUUUUAAUAUUUGGAGAUCUACAGGAGUGGGUCACUACUCUGGCCAGCUUGCUAUUGUCUACCAUGGCUGUUGCAAGACUCAAAGACAGUGUGCCAGGAUUAAAAAAAACCCCAACUCCAAGCUUGGAAGGAUGUAGGGUGCCAGGCAAUGCUGCUCAGUUAUGAAGCAGAGAAAAGUGUAAAACUGAUGGCUACGUGUGAAGCCAAACAAAAGCGGAUUAGAAAUGAAGCACAUUUUUAAAUUAAUGUGAGCUUCAAAAUCAAGUAAUUUGAUGAGUCUCCAACUUCUGAUGUGUUCAUAUUCCCAUAUAUUGGUAUGUCCGGAGCUGGAUGGUUUUCUGGAAGAUGCAGCAAAGCUACUGGGCUCGGUACUGGGCUAAUUGACUGCAACUGAAUAGCUUUGAAAUAUAGGAAGUCAUACCAGAUGUUCUCAUGGUUCCUUCUGGCCUUAAAUCCUGUGAUUCUAUGAAUGAGUUUCUGAAUCUGCGAAAUCCGAAGUCCUGAGAAUACAAACAUAUGAGCAGAGUUAUACUUCUGGCCUCCACAUCAGAAGAAAGAUAUUGAAUGUGCAUUGUUGCGAUAAAUCAAAGAAGCAGCUAAAUCAGAGCUGUAAUAAAAGUCAACUGCAGAUCUUUGUGCAGAAAUUGGUCAUAUGUCAUGUGAGGACAAAGUUUGGAGAUGAGAUUUCUCAACAUCUGAAAUGACUUCUUCUGGAAGCAGCCCCUUCCAAGCACUGUGGUGUAGAUCCUUCAUACUCACCACAGUCUUCUGUGCCACACAGGAGCUUGUUUGACAAGUGACGAUCAGCGAGGCACUGAAUGCUGCUGACCACAGUGUAAUUGAGAUGAGCAUCCCUGCCACGAAAACCAGCAGUGAGACAUUCAAGCCAAGAGAAAGGGGUUUUGUUUUGCUGGGCUUCCUUAAGGGGAAGCAUAUCAAAACUGAGGAAACUGAAAUCCACAGUCAGCAAGAAAGCUUACUCAGCCAUGGUCUAAGCACAGUCACACCAGCCAUGAUCUACCCACUCCGAAAAGUGUUUUGAAAAAGGAAGAAGAGCAGCAACAAAGGGAAGAAAAAGGAAGAAGAGCAGCAAGAACAACAACAACAACAAAAAAAAAAUCUCAGAAGAAUUAGGACAUUUCUGUGUGAUUUGAAAACACAUAUAAGUAAUCUGAUUCAUUCUGGGAGGAAAUCCUCUGUAUACCCCAUAACUGGAUUCAGAGGACAUGAGUGUGAGUAUCACCACUGAAAUUCCUUCUUGCCAGGCUCUGAGCAUCUCCAGUUUCCUGCCCUCACCAUCUCUCUCAGCUGUGCCUCUGGCUCUACCUGGAGAAGGAAGCAGAGCAGGCAGGACCCACCUGGGAACCAACACGUCUCAUCAGCACCACAUGGGGCGAUUCCUAAGAUGCAUGGUGGAUCACUGUGAUGCAAAUCUCCCUCCUUCAUGCAUGGAGGGUUCUGGGCCCUUGCAGCAUGGACCCAUUUCUUUAAAGAAAACCUUAGAGAAAGAGACACUUGGCUUGAAUGAAACGCUCAGAAAAAGAACAUGUGCUGCCAAAAUUCUCCAGUGUAGCACCCUUAUUAUAUAACACCAGGCUACAUGUGUCGUGCAAAGUGCUGUCUGUCAUUUGCAGAGGGCCCGUUGAUGCUCUAACGUCACCACCAAUGUCACGCAACACUGGGUGAAGCAACGAGCGCGGCGAUGUCACCAGGAAACACAUAAUGCCAAUGACAGUGGAACUAAUGUAGAGGCGAUUGUCCUUGCAUUAUUCAGCACUUCCAAUUGCUCUCUGGUUUAAGUGGCUGUAUGAUGUAAUAAUAUAUAAAUACUGUAAUGAAGGGUUUAUUUAUAGCCAUCCUCAGUGUUACUGGUGAAAGUAUUAAUGCGUUUUUCCCACGCUAUGUUCAUUGACCGCAGCCGUGCAACCCAUUUUCAAGGGACUAUGUCAAAAGAGUGUUUAAGCCAUUCCUCAGUCAGAGGAACAGGUGAACAGCUAAUGCAGCAAGGGAAGUAAUCAGCUUUAAAAAUGGGAAUGAAGAAAACCAAAAACAAAGCAAAGAAGUGUGGGUGAAGAGAGGACAUAACUCAAAUGGAAAAAGAGGGUUAAAGUGUCUCUAAAGCUGGCAACUUCUUUCCAGCCUGGGUACAAAUGGACUCCACAGAGGAAAAGACACUCGCACCUAGCUCUCAUUUAAGACAUGAAAACUGAUGGAGCGGGGGGAGGGAUCAGACCUUGGACCAAAAGCAGCUUCAAGUCUUAGAAAUAAGAGUGAUGCCAUUCACACUGCCAGAGUUGCUCUUGAUUUCAGUGUUGGCCUUAAUUGAGCUUGCACUUCUGUAUAAUCCUUCACCUCCUUUAACUUUCCAAACCACCCUGGAGCCACCAGUAGCUUCCAGAUGUUUUUUUUUCCUCCUCUCUGAGGAUGGCAUGGAGAGAAAAACAGCAGGUCUUGAAUGGUUGAAGGUGCAGGAUUUCAGAAGGACUAUGUGGCUCUUGCAGAGACACACAACUCUCCCGUUCCUACGCUCCAUCUGCAAAGAGACUUCCCUUUCACUGUAAACACAGUAAAAAUGGGAAAAAGCAGAAAGAAAAAUUUUUACUUGUGGGAGAAAUGUGUGAUUUCAUCAUUGCAAGUGUGAGUUUCUUGGGGAGUGUAGAAGAAUCCACAAUUACCUGGAGAGCAAAAGUGGUGGAGAUGGGGCUUCUGGCUUUCUGGUCUGCUUUCCUCCUGUGCUGCACCAGGUCCUGACCCACUCCUGAGCCCCUCCUGGUACUGCAGCUCCAUUGCUGACCUAGGAAGAGAUGCUUUUCAGAAAUUCAUCUGAUACCUGCAUUUCCCCUAUUUAACGAGGCACUUUCCCUGUCUUUGACUUGGCUCAUCAUUCCUUGCAGGGUGUACCGCCUCCUUUAAUGGCUCUUUAAGUGGUGGAAACAGGGCCAGGCUUGUAGAGAAAAUACCGAAAUUUCUCCACCCAGAUUAGGACUUCCCCAUUCAUCUUUCUUAAAAUUUGCCAUUCCCAGAGCAUAAAAAUCCUGUGUAUCCAUGUGGGCUUUGAGUGCGAAGCAGAGCAAGAAAUGGGGCAAGAAAUGGAGUGACAGCAGGAGGGGAUGUAUCUUCCUCCACUGCAUUGGCAUGCUGCCAGCAAGUGCAAGAAUCUGCCUUUUUUUUCCCCUGUUUCACAACAGAGCUGUGCUGUAAACAGCAUUCAUCACACAGGGAGUUCCACUUAGAAAUGGGUGAAUGCUAGAAAAAUACUAUUUACAAGUCCUCCCUCAAAUAAAAACCAUGAGUUUAUUUUGGCACCGGCAGUGAUUCUCCAAGUGAUUGCUUCUGGCAAGCGCUCAGGCAGGUACAACAACACUUGCUGAAAUAUUCAGAGGAUGGGGACAUGUUGCAGAAACUAGUGUAAAUGUCAGCUGUGGGACAAACACUUGUGCAAAUCUGUGCAGCGAGGGGUUUGCAUAGCUGGUUUUGAUUGCUGCUUGUGGGUUCCAGACUCCUCGAAUCAAAGCGGAGAAGCUCUGCCUCGUGACGGAGGUAAACAGGGACACACGCAGAAACUCAUCAAGAAGAGUACAAAUGAAAAUUAACAAAAAAAAAAGGCAACAACAAAUAGUUGAACUGCAGUCAGGCAGCAUAGUUUACAACAAGCCCAAAGACUGAGAAACAGCCAAAGAAACCAUUCACGUAAUAACAGCAUGUCAAACACAUCUGUAAAGUUCCUGUAGCAUUUGCAAGCAGCGGCCUAAAUUCAACAGGAUUUACUUGGAGCACAUCAUGAGAUUAAAAUCAAGAGAGCAUGCAAAUAUCUUACUGGAACAGGGCCAGGAGACAGGACUACAAUUGCAUGGUUAAUUGAAUUUGGCAAGCAGUCGCCCAGCUAUAUUUCCUCCGGGAUUGACAUGUGGAGUAGAUCGAUUGAUACUGGAAGAAUUAAGGAUGGGGAUUGCAUGAAAAAUGAAGAUCUGACUGGGUGGGCUCACCAAGGUGGGCAGAUGGGCUAAUGUUCAAUAGGUGGCACCUACAAGCAGAGAUCCAAGGCUGGAGUCACCUCAAAUUGCCCCCCAUCUUCCAAACACUUCCCCUGAUGCAGACAGACUUAACCAUAUGCUGGCUGUAACUGCUGUGCCCACAUGUGAAAGCAAUUGCAAGGCUGGAAGGGCUUGGGUUCUGUUUUGUUUGCGUUGUUCAUUAUCUACAAAUGCAAUUACCAAGGGAUAAAUUAAAUUAGGUUGUAGCAUUAUUUUGAACAUCUUUUCUGGUUUGCUUUACUUCAGAUUUUCUGAGAGGCCAGUGUUUAUAGUAAAAAGUACAACUUGGCAGAAGUACAAUCAGGAGUGAGCAACACAUACCACAAACAAAACCAUUAAGACCAUUUAGAAAAUUUUUGCAAAAGACAAUCAAGUAUUACGGGCCUAAUUUCCCACUUGGUCACCAUGAUUUUAUGUCAACAUUAACACCAUUGACUUCAGCUGAGCCCUACAGGCACAAAGCUUGUGUGAUGGGGUGGGAAACUGGCCCAGUUUAGGAUUAUGUAUAUCGUAUUAUUUAAAAGACAAAGAAACAAAUCCCAGGAGUGUGUAAGUAUGCUGAAGUCUCUGAAUGUAGACUUUUCCCUCUGAAAUCAAAAGCAGAGCAUCUGUGUACUGGGAGGAGUGGAAUCAGGUGUCCUCUACCUGCUAUUGGCAAGGCAUGGCCAUCAACAAUGAACAUUUUGGGACUGGAUGUAGAGUGUAGGACAGGAUGUAUAUUCUGGAAAAUAGAGAGAUGACUAAAGAGAAAGGUGUAUCUUCUUCCCUGAGAAUCUCCUCCCCCAGUCCUAAAUACCUUCUUAUUUCUCAUUACUUCAUACACUAGGAUCUAUUUUUAAUGCUUCUCAAAUUAGUAAUAUAAUUUUUUUUUCCAUACGUGUAUGAAUAUAGAGAUAUGUAAACCCAAAAAAAGACAUGAUGUGUUUUUUCUGCCUGGUUGAUCAUUGGUUUGGGUUUUUUUCAUUUUAGGUCUUUUGGAAGUGCAAUUAUAUUAGACAUGCUGGGCUGGCCAUUAGGAUGAGUAAAACAGUUUGGGAGAAGAAAAGGUUUGUGAAUAUUUCAGGAUAAUUACUAACAGUUAGUCCCAGACCCAGAAAAAAUAUUAAAAAGGGAAAAAAAAAGCAAAGAAAAAGAGAGAAAAAGAGUUUCGCCUGUUACUGAUUUCCUUUUUGGUUUCAGGGGCCAUUGUUUGUUUUAAUGACAGGAAAAGAGAGCUGUCAGAAGACAUUUGCAUAGUGCAAAUAGGGUCACAAAUCAGAGGGGCUGUGGAGAUCAUGUAGCAGUGAGCCGGCACCCAUCGGUGUGCAGCUACGAGGACGAGGUUGUUUUCUGUAGUAAUGGGAAAAAGCUGAUAGCUUUUCCACAUGCAGUGGAGGGCUCAAGCAAUUUGGGGGAAGAAAAGCUUCCCACUUGCAGCAGGGUUUGCUGGGCUCUCAUGAAGGCGUUGCUGUUUGUUUAUUUUCCUAGCUUGUGUGCUUAAGAUGCAUUCUUUGAAAAUUUAGCUGAUGGGUCUGUUUGUAUAGACUGCACUGCUGGUGAGUUAGACCAGGGGUUUGUGCUCAUUUGGGAAAAGAGAAAGAAUCCUGGCCAUCAGAAAUGUUUACUAUAUCAGGAAAUGAAUUCACUACUUGAGGGUUCCAGUGGA